rnacentral:tRNA from 1 species
AAUUUUAAUAGUUUAAAAUUAAAAUGUUGAUUUUGUAAUUCAAAGAUAUUAUUAUGAUAUAGUUUAAAGU